rnacentral:rRNA from 1 species
AUACGGAGGGUCCAAGCGUUAUCCGGAAUCAUUGGGUUUAAAGGGUCCGCAGGCGGGAAAAUAAGUCAGUGGUGAAAGCCUACAGCUCAACUGUAGAACUGCCAUUGAUACUGUUUUUCUUGAGUAUAGAUGAAGUGGGCGGAAUAUAUCAUGUAGCGGUGAAAUGCAUAGAUAUGAUAUAGAACACCGAUUGCGAAGGCAGCUCACUAAACUAUUACUGACGCUCAGGGACGAAAGCGUGGGGAGCGAACAGGAUUAGAAACCCUAGUAGUCC